rnacentral:rRNA from 1 species
AACGAACGCUGGCGGCGUGGAUAAGACAUGCAAGUCGAACGGGACUUUUUUCUGUAGCAAUACAGAGAAAAGUCUAGUGGCGAACGGGUGCGUAACACGUGAGCAACCUGCCGUGAAGUGGGGGAUAGCUCGCCGAAAGGCGAAUUAAUACCGCAUGUGGCCAAGGAAGACAUCUUCCUGCCGCCAAAGCCGGGGCAACCUGGCGCUUCUCGAGGGGCUCGCGGCCUAUCAGCUUGGUGGUGAGGUAACGGCUCACCAAGGCUAUGACGGGUAGCUAGUCUGGGAGGACGACCAGCCACACUGGAACUGAGACACGGUCCAGACACCUACGGGUGGCAGCAGUCGAGAAUUUUUCACAAUGGGGGAAACCCUGAUGGAGCGACGCCGCGUGGAGGAUGAAGGUUUUCGGAUUGUAAACUCCUGUCAUUAGAGAACAAGGCACACGGUUUAACUGGCCGUGUGUUGAUAGUAUCUGAAGAGGAAGAGACGGCUAACUCUGUGCCAGCAGCCGCCGUAA